GAUGAACGCUGGCGGCGUGCCUAAUACAUGCAAGUCGAGCGAACAGACGAGGAGCUUGCUCCUCUGACGUUAGCGGCGGACGGGUGAGUAACACGUGGAUAACCUACCUAUAAGACUUGGAUAACUUCGGGAAACCGGAGCUAAUACCGGAUAAUAUAUUGAACCGCAUGGUUCAAUAGUGAAAGACGGUUUUGCUGUCACUUAUAGAUGGAUCCGCGCCGCAUUAGCUAGUUGGUAAGGUAACGGCUUACCAAGGCGACGAUGCGUAGCCGACCUGAGAGGGUGAUCGGCCACACUGGAACUGAGACACGGUCCAGACUCCUACGGGAGGCAGCAGUAGGGAAUCUUCCGCAAUGGGCGAAAGCCUGACGGAGCAAAGCCGCGUGAGUGAUGAAGGUCUUCGGAUCGUAAAACUCUGUUAUUAGGGAAGAACAAAUGUGUAAGUAACUAUGCACGUCUUGACGGUACCUAAUCAGAAAGCCACGGCUAACUACGUG
rnacentral:rRNA from 1 species